GGUGUGGUGGCUUAGUGGUUAGCACAUUUGCCUCACACAUCUGGGAUUGGGGAUUCGAUUCCCGCCUCCACCC